GUGGCCAAGAUGGGGUGCUCAAAAUAGGGGCAUGCACAAAGGGGGGGUGCUGGUUUCUAGCACCUCCUUUCUUUCCUUUUUGGGGUUGCAGCCAACAAACCCUAGGUUUCUUGGUUCUUAGAUGUGAAGAAGAUCAGAGAGAGAGAAGAAGGAAGAGAGAGAAAGUUAUGGAGAAUAUAAUUUUGUAUUCCUUUCGAUACCUCAAGUUCAAAUACAAUGUAUGUUUAUAUACAGG
rnacentral:lncRNA from 1 species